rnacentral:rRNA from 1 species
AUUGAACGCUGGCGGCAUGCCUUACACAUGCAAGUCGAACGGCAGCACGGGGGCAACCCUGGUGGCGAGUGGCGAACGGGUGAGUAAUAUAUCGGAACGUACCCUGGAGUGGGGGAUAACGUAGCGAAAGUUACGCUAAUACCGCAUACGAUCUAAGGAUGAAAGUGGGGGAUCGCAAGACCUCAUGCUCCUGGAGCGGCCGAUAUCUGAUUAGCUAGUUGGUGGGGUAAAGGCCUACCAAGGCAUCGAGUCAGUAGCUGGUCUGAGAGGACGACCAGCCACACUGGGACUGAGACACGGCCCAGACUCCUACGGGAGGCAGCAGUGGGAAUUUUGGACAAUGGGGGCGAACCCUGAUCCAGCAAUGCCGCGUGAGUGAAGAAGC